CAGUCGCCGCGGUAAUACGUAGGUGGCAAGCGUUGUCCGGAAUUAUUGGGCGUAAAGCGUGCGCAGGCGGUUUGUUAAGACAGAUGUGAAACCCCCGGGCUCAACCUGGGAACUGCAUUUGUGACUGGCAAGCUAGAGUAUGGCAGAGGGGGGUGGAAUUCCGCGUGUAGCAGUGAAAUGCGUAGAUAUGCGGAGGAACACCGAUGGCGAAGGCAGCCCCCUGGGCCAAUACUGACGCUCAUGCACGAAAGCGUGGGGAGCAAACAGGAUUAGAGACCCCCGUAGUCCCUGUCUCUUAUAC
rnacentral:rRNA from 1 species